rnacentral:snRNA from 1 species
GGAUGUGAGGGCGAUCUGGCAGCGACAUCUGUCGCCCCAUUGAUCGCCAGGGUUGAAUCGGCUGAUCUGGCUGGCCGGGCGGGUGUCCUCUUUCUCCCUCAACGCUCUAAGUGCGUCCCUCCCGAAGCUGCGCGCUCGGUCGAGGAGGACGACCACUCCCGACCUAGGAGGAUCGGUCCUCGGUCAAGGGUGUAUGAGUAGAUGCGCUCCCCUGCUAGAACCUCCAAACAAGCUCUAAAAGCACCUGCCGCCGACAGUGUCUGAGCUUAGUGAAUAGACCACUGAAGUCCCUUGGAGUUAGCGUAUGGCACCGAGG